GGAAACUUUAUUUGAGAAUAAUUAAGUAAUACAACAGUGCAAAACUAUAACAGAAGGAAUUUUAAAGGAGAAUAAUCAUCGGUGCUUGUAAAAAUGCAAACAACCCCAAAUGCUUUGUUUUACACGUUGUUGGUUCUGCUAUAAUGCAACACACAGAUACACUCACGACCCCAGAUGGCACAAUAGGGCAGACAUGACACAUGUACUUAACACUCCCCCUCCCGCCUCCCACCUCGGGACCCUACGAAAGGGCUCAACUAAUACCCUAGACUAGGAGGGCAGAACGGGCUAUACACACAUACAAGCUCUCUUAUACACAUUAAGCUGACACUACGUCCGCAAUAAGCAGCAUUCGUCAGCCGCAUACUACAUGCCUGACCAUAUACGACCACUGCUAGGACGCACACAAGUCAGUCUCAUACAACUAGCAUACUAAUUGUGACAACUGAUUUGAUACAACGAUUUUACAACUAUCGCUAAGACAACCACUAUAAGGAUUGACACAUACCUAUUAAAUCCAUCGUUACUCUACUGUUUACUGUGCAUUGGGAGAAAAAACAAACCUUCGUGCUAGAUCUCAGUAGCCCAAACAUCAGGCAUUACAGCAUGACAACAAUGCCACUAAAUUCUACUUUUAGCCUAACACAUGCCUGAUGUCUAGCGAGGAGAACUGCCCACACGCUUAAGGGCUAGUUAAUGCAGCAUGAGUUAACCCUUGUUUUAUGUUUAGUAUGUUAUUACAACGCAGUAAGUUAACAUAUAUAUUCAGCCUGUUAACGCUACACCUGUUUAAGCCUAAAAAUAUGUACAGUCCUCAUGAAAAUGCUCUUACACUA